rnacentral:rRNA from 1 species
AUGUGGCUGUCUUCGGGCAGUGUUAUAGCCUCUUGUCAUAUGUCUCGGUCGGGACUGAGGACUGCAGCGCGCCUUACGGCCGGGGUUCGCGCCCUCGGUACGCGCUUAGGAUGCUGGCAUAAUGGCUUUAAGCG